rnacentral:rRNA from 1 species
UACGUAGGGUGCGAGCGUUUGCCGGAAUUAUUGGGCGUAAAGAGCUCGUAGGCGGUCUGUCGCGUCGGUCGUGAAAACUUGGGGCUUAACCCUGAGCUUGCGGUCGAUACGGGCAUGACUGGAGUUCGGCAGGGGAGACUUGGAAUUCCUGGUGUAGCGGUGAAAUGCGCAGAUAUCGGGAGGAACACCAAUGGCGAAGGCAGCUCG